rnacentral:lncRNA from 1 species
CUUUGAAUGUUUCAUUUCUCUGUUGCAUAAUGCACUGACACAUCCUGCCUCUGAAGGUGUCUCACAAAGCAGUCGUGGAGUGAUGGCUGAAAUGAAUUCCAAGAUGUGUCCUGGAAAGAGGAAUUCUUACAGAGAGAUGUGAUGAAAUACUGCCAUGCAUGAAGGAAGUGACUGUUAAGGAGAGCAAAAAAGACAAUUUCCAAGCAUGGUAAAAGAUGUAAGUAAAACCCCAAUGCAAUAGCAGUUUGCAUGAGUGUUUUCCCCUGUGUGCACACCUGCUUAGUGGAGUAUCGCAAUCUUACUGAAAGUGUCACAGGGAUUGGAAGUUUUAGUUUGUGCCCUUCCUUAAAAGACCGUGAGGCUGUCUGAUGUCUCUGAUACCUGUUCAUUUUAUGGGAAGUUACGGUAGGAUUAGUAUGUAGGUACUAACUGUUGGAUUUGAUAGACUGUCACUCAGGGAUCAAACCAAGCUCAAAGAAAUCCAUGCUGCAGCAACUGCAUGGACUAUGACAGCUGCAGAGCAUGGUGGUUCAGGUGAUUUGGCUUCAAACCCUUCAGUUUUCCCAAGCAGUUGAUUUUAUUCAGACAGUCUGCAUCCAUCUUCUCUGCUUACUGACCAUAUUACCUAUCUUCUCCUGUGGUGACUCCAGCUGUACCCCUUGGUCAUGGCACCAGUGUAGAUGCUUCCUCUCAGAUACAAGCAUCAUAAUAUUGUGCUUAGAAUCCUGCCCACUUUGGUACCACACUUUCCAUUGUUGCCACAAGGCAGAGCUAUUCUCAGUCCCUCCAUCUGCACUGCUGCAUAGAAGGCCAUUUUGUGCCUGGCCUCUGGUGAUUGCAAAGAGAAGGAUAACAGCAAGGAGGGGAAGGGGCAGGAAGUUUGGAAAGUCCAUCUAGGAAUGAUGAGAGCAAGAGUGACAUGAAACUAAACAAAGGUUCUUUAGCCAAACAAUAUCCUCCUAUUCCUGCUCCCGUAACUAGGAAAAGCCGCCUUCUUUAGAGAAGAGGACCAACCAGGCUGUUUGUUGUUCUGUAGAGGAAAGACGUGAAUUUAAGAUAAGUUAGGGUAGUGCAAAGAUUUUGCAGUGCUGAAAAAUACCUUUAAUGUGGCUGUAUCUUAAGCUUGGCAGCCACAGAACUUCUGGAGAGAGGUUUACACGGGGAGCAACACCCCCACUGCCCAACUGUUCUUGCAUUGUUCUGCAGUACUGCAGAGGGGAUGCGGAGGAA